AUGAACGCUGGCGGCGUGCCUAAUACCUGCAAGUCGAGCGAACGGACGAGAAGCUUGCUUCUCUGAUGUUAGCGGCGGACGGGUGAGUAACACGUGGAUAACCUACCUAUAAGACUGGGAUAACUUCGGGAAACCGGAUCUAAUACCGGAUGAUAUUUUGAACCGCAUGGUUCAAAAGUGAAAGACGGUCUUGCUGUCACUUAUAGAUGGAUCCGCGCUGCAUUAGCUAGUUGGUAAGGUAACGGCUUACCAAGGCAACGAUGCAUAGCCGACCUGAGAGGGUGAUCGGCCACACUGGAACUGAGACACGGUCCAGACUCCUACGGGAGGCAGCAGUAGGGAAUCUUCCGCAAUGGGCGAAAGCCUGACGGAGCAACGCCGCGUGAGUGAUGAAGGUCUUCGGAUCGUAAAACUCUGUUAUUAGGGAAGAACAUAUGUGUAAGUAACUGUGCACAUCUUGACGGUACCUAAUCAGAAAGCCACGGCUAACUACGUG
rnacentral:rRNA from 1 species